AGCUAUUAUGACAACUACAUUUUACAUACCUGAGGAAAGGGCCAUAAUUAAAACUCCCUGGCUAUUAAUUUGAAGAACUAGAGGAUUUCUAAGGCAACCAGUUCCAAGAAUAGAUGAUCUGAAAAGUACAAGAAAAAUCCAUGAUAAUUCAUCACAUAGCCUAAUACACUUCAGCAGCAGAUUGAAAGAACAAUGCCAGUUGCUGUGACUCAAGAAAGAGAACGGAGAAAUCCUCUACGAGCCCCAUGGGUUUACAGAAGCCUAUCAAUUACUCUGUCAGUCUUCCGGAUCAUUAUUCAAGUUGCUAUCCCCAAUUUUUCUGGCUAUAUGAGAUCGACUCCAGCUCCAUAGAUGGACACUGUUUUCUUCUUAUUUUUAAAGACAGCAAAGGGGAAAACUGGUGAAUAGUAUACAGACACUGAAAAAUACAUUGUUACUAUGGCAAUAAAAAGGAGAGCAAAUGUCCAAACUCUUUAUGGUUAAA